UACGUAGGGAGCAAGCGUUGUCCGGAAUCAUUGGGCGUAAAGCGCGCGUAGGUGGCCCCAUAAGUCCGCUGUGAAAGUCAAAGGCUCAACCUUUGAAAGCCGGUGGAUACUGUGGGACUAGAGUACGGAAGAGGCGAGUGGAAUUCCUGGUGUAGCGGUGGAAUGCGUAGAGAUCCGGAAGAACACCGGUGGCGAAGGCGGUCUGCUGGGCAGUUGCUGACACUGAGGCGCGACAGCGUGGGGAGCAAACAGG
rnacentral:rRNA from 1 species